UACGUAGGGUGCGAGCGUUGUCCGGAAUUAUUGGGCGUAAAGAGCUCGUAGGCGGUUUGUCGCGUCGACUGUGAAAUCCCGAGGCUUAACCUCGGGCCUGCAGUCGAUACGGGCAGACUAGAGUUCGGUAGGGGAGACUGGAAUUCCUGGUGUAGCGGUGAAAUGCGCAGAUAUCAGGAGGAACACCGGUGGCGAAGGCGGGUCUCUGGGCCGAUACUGACGCUGAGGAGCGAAAGCGUGGGGAGCGAACAGG
rnacentral:rRNA from 1 species